CCCCUUCCACACUGUGGAAGCUUUGUUCUUUCGCUCUUUGCAAUAAAUCUUGCUACUGCUCACUCUUUGGGUCCACGCUGUUUUAUGAGCUGUAACACUCACCGCGAAGGUCUGCAGCUUCACUCCUGAAGCCAGCGAGACCACGAACCCGCCAGAAGGAAAGAAACUCCGAACACACCCGAACAUCAGAAGGAACAAACUCCAGACGCGCCACCUUAAGAGCUGUAACACUCACCGCAAGGGUCCACGGCUUCAUUCUUGAAGUCAGUGAGACCAAGAACCCACCAAUUCUGGACACAAUAGUACAUGUCACACCAAUGCCAAUUCCAGACUAACAUCCUGAAGCUCCAGUUUUGAGGGGUGCAAGCUGCAAGACUGAUAUCAACAUCCACCAAAUACCACUGAUGAGUGGCAAGUAUUAAAAAAACACAGAAAAUCCCACAGCAUGUUGUGGGUUGAAUUAUGCUUCUUCCCUCCCCAGAAGAGUAGGGCUUUCAGAACUAAGGCUGCACACCUAUGACCAUCUGAUCUUCAACAAAGCUGACAAAAACAAGCAACGGGGAAAGGACUUCCUAAUCAAUAAAUGGUGCUGGGAUAACUGGCUAGCCAUGUGCAGAAGAUUGAAGCUGAACCCCUUCCUUGCGCUAUAUAUGAAAAUCAGCUCAAGAUAGAUUAAAGAGUUAAAUGUGAAAUCCAAAACUAUAAAAACCCUGGAAGACAACCUAGGCAAUACCAUCCUGGACACAGGAACAGGCAAACAUUUCAUGACAAAUACACCAAAAGAAAUUGCAACAAAAGCAAAAAUUGACAAAUGGGAUCUAAUUCAACUUAAGAGCUUCUGCACAGCAAAAGAAACUAUCAGAGUAAAGAGUCAAUCUACAGAAUGGGAGAAAAUUUUUACAAACUACGCAUCAGAAAAAAGUCUAAUAUCCAGCAUCUAUAAGGAAUUAAACAAAUUUACAAGAGAAAAAUAAAUAUCCCCAUUACAAAGUGGGCAAAGUUCAUGAACAGACACUUCUCAAAAGAAGACAUACAUGUGGUCAACAAGCAUCUGAAAAAAUCCAAUAUCACUGAUCAUUAGAGAAAUGCAAAUCAAAACCACAAUGAGAUACCAUCUGACACCAGUCAGAAUGGCUAUUAUAAAAAGUUAAACAAACAAACAAAAAACAACCCAACAGAUGCUUGUGAGGUUGCAGAGAAAUGGGAACACUUAUACACUGUUGGUGGGAGUGUAAAUUAGUUCAGUCAUCGUGGAAAGCAGUAUGGCAAUUCCUCAAAGAACUAAAAACAGAACUACCAUUCAACCCAGCAAUCCCAUUACUGGGUACAUACCCAAAGGAGUAUAAAUCAUUCUACCAUAAAGACACAUACACAUGUAUGUUCACUGCAGCACUAUUCACAAUAGCAAAGACAUGCAAUCAACUUAAAUGCCCAUCAAUGACAGACUGGAUAAGGAAAAUGUGGCACAUAUACACCAUGGAAUAUGAUGCAGCCGUAAAAAAGAACAAGACCAUGUCUUUUAUGGGAACAUGAGUGGAGAUGGAGGCUAUUAGCCUUAGCAAACUAACAAAGGAACAGAAAACCAAAUACCACAUGUUCUCACUUAUAGGUGGAAGCUAAAUGAUGAGAACUCAUGAACACGAGGAAGGGAAAAACAGACACUGGGGUCUACUGGAGGGUGGAGGGUAGGAGAAGGGAGAGGAGCAGAAAGAUAACUAUUGGGUACUGGGCUUAAUAACUGGGUAAUGAAAUAAUCUGUACAACAAACCCCUGUGACAGAAGUUUACCUGUAUAACAAACCUUCACAUGUACUCUUGAACCUAAAAUAAAAGUUAAAAAUGAACACAAAAUUGUUCUUUCCAUCAAAAAGUAGGGCUUUUAGAAAUGCAUAAUAUAAUGAAGUUUUUAAUCAAAUAUGUCAAUAACAACAUCAAUAUGCAUAUCCUGUUGAAUUAUAAUGAAAGCACAUCCAAUUCAAUUAUGAAAACCUAUACAUUUUUAUUUUGCUUCUUUAAUAUAAAAAUAUCUAGGUCGGGCGUGGUGCCUCAUGCCUGUAAUCCCAGCACUUUGGGAGGCCGAGGCAGGUGGAUCGCCUGAUAUCAGGAGUUCGAGACCAGCCUGGCCAACAUAAUGAAACCCCGUCUCUACUAAAAACACACAAAAUUAGCUGGGUGUAGUGGUGGGCGCCUGUAAUCCCAGCUACUAGGGAGGCUGAGGCAAGAUUAUUGCUUGAACCCAGGAGGUGGAGGUUGCAGUGAGCUGAGAUAGCGCCAUUGCACUCCAGCCUGGGUAGCAAGAGCGAAUCUCUCUCUCUCUCUCUCUCUCAAAAAAAGAAAAAAAAAGAAAAUCUAAUACCCAAAUCCAUAAUGUUUUCCAAGAUGUA
rnacentral:lncRNA from 1 species